UAAAGACCUGUAUGAAUGGCUAAAUGAGUAUUAAACUGUCUCCUUCAACCAAUCAGUGAAACUGAUCUUUCAGUACAAAAGCUGAAAUUUACACAUAAGACGAGAAGACCCUGUGGAGCUUUAAAUCUUAACCAAGUAGUGCACAAAGUACAGUUAUGGUUAAAAAUUUUUAGUUGGGGCGACUUUGGAGAAAAACAUAACCUCCAAGAAAAGGUGCCACCUAAACAAGGCCCACAAGCCAAGCCCCUUUGACCCAGAACUUCUGAUUAACGAACCAAGCUACCCCAGGGAUAACAGCGCCAUCUUCUUCAAGAGUUCAUAUCGACAAGAAGGCUUACGACCUCGAUGUUGGAUCAGGACACCCAAAUGGUGCAGCCGCUAUUAAAGGUUCGUUUGUUCAACGAUUAAUAGU
rnacentral:rRNA from 1 species